CCUACGGGUGGCAGCAGUGGGGAAUAUUGGGCAAUGGGCGCAAGCCUGACGCAGCAAUGCCGCGUGUAGGAAGAAGGCCUUCGGGUUGUAAACUACUUUCGACAGGGAAGAGUAGAAGACGGUACCUGUCGUUUCAGCUAGGGCUAACUACGUGCCAGCAGCCGCGGUAACACGGAGGUGGCAAGCGUUGUCCGGAUUUACUGGGUGUAGAUGGUGUGUAGCCGGGUUGUUAAGUCAGAUGUGAAAUCCUGCGGCUUAACCGGGGAACUGCAUUUGAGACUGGUAAUCUUGAGUACAGGAGAGGCGGACAGAAUUCCAGGGGUAGCGGUGAAAUGCGUAGAGAUCUGGAGGAACACCAGUGGCGAAGGCGGCCUGCUGGACGAAGACUGACGCUGAGGUGCGAAAGCGUGGGGAGCAAACAGGAUUAGAUACCCUAGUAGUC
rnacentral:rRNA from 1 species